CCCUUAGAUGUUCUGGGCUGCACGCGCGCUACACUGAAGCUAUCAACACGUUUUCCCUCCCUGAGAAGGGCGGGUAACCUUUUGAAUCAGCUUCGUGGUAGGGAUCGGGGCUUGCAAUUGUUCCCCGUGAACCAGGAAUUCCUAGUAGACGCGAGUCAUAAGCUCGCAUCGAUUAAGUCCCUGCCCUUUGUACACACCGCCCGUCGCUACUACCGAUUGAACGUUUUAGUGAGGCAUUUGGACCGACGCAUCUCAUUUUAACCGCUGGUUUGUGUUGGAAAGACUUCCAAACUUGAGCGUUUAGAGGAAGUAAAAGUCGUAACA
rnacentral:rRNA from 1 species